CGGCCCGUACCCCAAACCAACUCAGGUGGUCAGGUAGAGAAUACCAAGGCGAUCGAGCGAACUGUGGUUAAGGAACUCGGCAAAAUGCCCCCGUAACUUCGGGAGAAGGGGGACCACAACCGGUGACACACAUUCGUGUUGAGCUGGUUGGGGUCGCAGAGAAGAGAGGGGAGCGACUGUUUAUCAAAAACACAGGGCUUUGCUAAAUUGAAA
rnacentral:rRNA from 1 species